rnacentral:rRNA from 1 species
GAUGAACGCUGGCGGCGUGCCUAAUACAUGCAAGUCGAGCGAACAGACGAGGAGCUUGCUCCUCUGACGUUAGCGGCGGACGGGUGAGUAACACGUGGAUAACCUACCUAUAAGACUGGGAUAACUUCGGGAAACCGGAGCUAAUACCGGAUAAUAUAUUGAACCGCAUGGUUCAAUAGUGAAAGACGGUUUUGCUGUCACUUAUAGAUGGAUCCGCGCCGCAUUAGCUAGUUGGUAAGGUAACGGCUUACCAAGGCAACGAUGCGUAGCCGACCUGAGAGGGUGAUCGGCCACACUGGAACUGAGACACGGUCCAGACUCCUACGGGAGGCAGCAGUAGGGAAUCUUCCGCAAUGGGCGCAAGCCUGACGGAGCAACGCCGCGUGAGUGAUGAAGGUCUUCGGAUCGUAAAGCUCUGUUAUUAGGGAAGAACAAAUGUGUAAGUAACUAUGCACGUCUUGACGGUACCUAAUCAGAAAGCCACGGCUAACUACGUG